rnacentral:rRNA from 1 species
GACGAACGCUGGCGGCGUGCUUAACACAUGCAAGUCGAACGGAAAGGCCCUGCUUUUGUUGGGUGCUCGAGUGGCGAACGGGUGAGUAACACGUGAGUAACCUGCCCUUGACUUUGGGAUAACUUCAGGAAACUGGGGCUAAUACCGGAUAGGAGCUCCUGCUGCAUUGUGGGGGUUGAUAAUUUUCGGCGGUUUGGGAUGGACUCGCGGCUUAUCAGCUUGUUGGUGGGGUAGUGGCUUACCAAGGCUUGGACGGGUAGCCGGCCUGAGAGGGUGACCGGCCACAUUGGGCCUGGGGUACGGCCCAGACUGCUACGGGAGGCAGCAGUGGGGAAUAUUGCACAAUGGGCGGAAGCCUGAUGCAGCAACGCCGCGUGCGGGAUGACGGCCUUCGGGUUGUAAACCGCUUUCGCCUGUGACGAAGCGUGAGUGACGGUAAUGGGUAAAGAAGCACCGGCUAACUACGUG